AUGGCCUGGGAGAACAUCAUAAAACCAAAAGCUAUGGGAGGGCUUGGAUUCUGGGACUACAGACUCUUCAAUCAGGCCCUUCUUGCCCGGCAAGCAUGGCGGCUCCUAACUAAUCCAGAAAGUCUUUGUGCACAUGUCUUGAAGGUGAAAUAUUACCCUCAUGGUCGGUUGGAGGAUACCAUGUUUACAGGAAAUGAGUCAUCAACGUGGAAGGCCAUCACGUACGGCCUCGAGCUUCUCAAGAAGGGGCUUCUCUGGCGCAUCGGGAAUGGCCAGCAAGUACGCAUAUGGUGUGAUCCUUGGCUCCCGAGGAUGGCUUCUUAUAGGCCUGUUUCGCUACCGGGAUGGUGCAGGCUCCACCGCGUCGCUGAACUAGUGAACCACCAGGGAGGGUGGCACACUCAACUAAUCCAACAAAAUUUUGCCACUCCGGACAUCGACGAAACACUCAAGUUGCGGAUGGCACCGCGCAUGGAGGACGUCCUGGCUUGGGGCCCGGACCUGAGAGGUUUGUUCUCCGUCAGGUCCGCCUACAAGCUCGACCUGGAGGAGAAACUUUGCACGUCGAUGUGCGCCACGAGGAGGGCAUCGGACGACAACCGUGCUGUCUGGAAGGCAUUGUGGGGGUGCCCUGCUCCCCCAAAGGUACGAAUAUUUGGUUGGCGAUUGGCUACGAACACUCUUGCGACAAUGGAAAAUAAAAAGAGUAUAACUAUUGAAAAACUGACAUACGUGUUAUUUUUGGCAUUGAACGGGAGGAUACUUUCCACGCCGUCCGCAGAUGUCCAAUGGCAGGUGCUCUAUGGGACGGCAUGA
rnacentral:rRNA from 1 species